rnacentral:rRNA from 1 species
UUAAGUUAUUAAGGGCGCACGGUGGAUGCCUUGGCACUAGAAGCCGAUGAAGGACGUUACUAACGACGAUAUGCUUUGGGGAGCUGUAAGUAAGCUUUGAUCCAGAGAUUUCCGAAUGGGGAAACCCAACAUGAGUUAUGUCAUGUUAUCGAUAUGUGAAUACAUAGCAUAUCAGAAGGCACACCCGGAGAACUGAAACAUCUUAGUACCCGGAGGAAGAGAAAGAAAAUUCGAUUCCCUUAGUAGCGGCGAGCGAAACGGGAAGAGCCCAAACCAACAAGCUUGCUUGUUGGGGUUGUAGGACACUCUAUACGGAGUUACAAAGGACGACAUUAGACGAAUCAUCUGGAAAGAUGAAUCAAAGAAGGUAAUAAUCCUGUAGUCGAAAAUGUUGUCUCUCUUGAGUGGAUCCUGAGUACGACGGAGCACGUGAAAUUCCGUCGGAAUCUGGGAGGACCAUCUCCUAAGGCUAAAUACUCUCUAGUGACCGAUAGUGAACCAGUACCGUGAGGGAAAGGUGAAAAGCACCCCGGAAGGGGAGUGAAAUAGAACCUGAAACCGUGUGCUUACAAGUAGUCAGAGCCCGUUAAUGGGUGAUGGCGUGCCUUUUGUAGAAUGAACCGGCGAGUUACGAUUUGAUGCAAGGUUAAGCAGUAAAUGUGGAGCCGUAGCGAAAGCGAGUCUGAAUAGGGCGUUUAGUAUUUGGUCGUAGACCCGAAACCAGGUGAUCUACCCUUGGUCAGGUUGAAGUUCAGGUAACACUGAAUGGAGGACCGAACCGACUUACGUUGAAAAGUGAGCGGAUGAACUGAGGGUAGCGGAGAAAUUCCAAUCGAACCUGGAGAUAGCUGGUUCUCUCCGAAAUAGCUUUAGGGCUAGCCUCAAGUGAUGAUUAUUGGAGGUAGAGCACUGUUUGGACGAGGGGCCCCUCUCGGGUUACCGAAUUCAGACAAACUCCGAAUGCCAAUUAAUUUAACUUGGGAGUCAGAACAUGGGUGAUAAGGUCCGUGUUCGAAAGGGAAACAGCCCAGACCACCAGCUAAGGUCCCAAAAUAUAUGUUAAGUGGAAAAGGAUGUGGCGUUGCCCAGACAACUAGGAUGUUGGCUUAGAAGCAGCCAUCAUUUAAAGAGUGCGUAAUAGCUCACUAGUCGAGUGACACUGCGCCGAAAAUGUACCGGGGCUAAACAUAUUACCGAAGCUGUGGAUUGUACUUUGGACAAUGGUAGGAGAGCGUUCUAAGGGCGUUGAAGCAUGAUCGUAAGGACAUGUGGAGCGCUUAGAAGUGAGAAUGCCGGUGUGAGUAGCGAAAGACGGGUGAGAAUCCCGUCUACCGAUUGACUAAGGUUUCCAGAGGAAGGCUCGUCCGCUCUGGGUUAGUCGGGUCCUAAGCUGAGGCCGACAGGCGUAGGCGAUGGAUAACAGGUUGAUAUUCCUGUACCACCUAUAAUCGUUUUAAUCGAUGGGGGGACGCAGUAGGAUAGGCGAAGCGUGCGAUUGGAUUGCACGUCUAAGCAGUAAGGCUGAGUAUUAGGCAAAUCCGGUACUCAUUAAGGCUGAGCUGUGAUGGGGAGAAGACAUUGUGUCUUCGAGUCGUUGAUUUCACACUGCCGAGAAAAGCCUCUAGAUAGAAAAUAGGUGCCCGUACCGCAAACCGACACAGGUAGUCAAGAUGAGAAUUCUAAGGUGAGCGAGCGAACUCUCGUUAAGGAACUCGGCAAAAUGACCCCGUAACUUCGGGAGAAGGGGUGCUCUUUAGGGUUAACGCCCAGAAGAGCCGCAGUGAAUAGGCCCAAGCGACUGUUUAUCAAAAACACAGGUCUCUGCUAAACCGUAAGGUGAUGUAUAGGGGCUGACGCCUGCCCGGUGCUGGAAGGUUAAGAGGAGUGGUUAGCUUCUGCGAAGCUACGAAUCGAAGCCCCAGUAAACGGCGGCCGUAACUAUAACGGUCCUAAGGUAGCGAAAUUCCUUGUCGGGUAAGUUCCGACCCGCACGAAAGGCGUAACGAUUUGGGCACUGUCUCAACGAGAGACUCGGUGAAAUCAUAGUACCUGUGAAGAUGCAGGUUACCCGCGACAGGACGGAAAGACCCCGUGGAGCUUUACUGUAGCCUGAUAUUGAAAUUCGGCACAGCUUGUACAGGAUAGGUAGGAGCCUUUGAAACGUGAGCGCUAGCUUACGUGGAGGCGCUGGUGGGAUACUACCCUAGCUGUGUUGGCUUUCUAACCCGCACCACUUAUCGUGGUGGGAGACAGUGUCAGGCGGGCAGUUUGACUGGGGCGGUCGCCUCCUAAAAGGUAACGGAGGCGCUCAAAGGUUCCCUCAGAAUGGUUGGAAAUCAUUCAUAGAGUGUAAAGGCAUAAGGGAGCUUGACUGCGAGACCUACAAGUCGAGCAGGGUCGAAAGACGGACUUAGUGAUCCGGUGGUUCCGCAUGGAAGGGCCAUCGCUCAACGGAUAAAAGCUACCCCGGGGAUAACAGGCUUAUCUCCCCCAAGAGUUCACAUCGACGGGGAGGUUUGGCACCUCGAUGUCGGCUCAUCGCAUCCUGGGGCUGUAGUCGGUCCCAAGGGUUGGGCUGUUCGCCCAUUAAAGCGGUACGCGAGCUGGGUUCAGAACGUCGUGAGACAGUUCGGUCCCUAUCCGUCGUGGGCGUAGGAAAUUUGAGAGGAGCUGUCCUUAGUACGAGAGGACCGGGAUGGACAUACCUCUGGUGUACCAGUUGUCGUGCCAACGGCAUAGCUGGGUAGCUAUGUGUGGACGGGAUAAAUGCUGAAAGCAUCUAAGCAUGAAGCCCCCCUCAAGAUGAGAUUUCCCAACUUCGGUUAUAAGAUCCCUCAAAGAUGAUGAGGUUAAUAGGUUCGAGGUGGAAGCAUGGUGACAUGUGGAGCUGACGAAUACUAAUCGAUCGAAGACUUAAUCAA